rnacentral:misc_RNA from 1 species
UCCGGUUUGUCACCGGCAGUCUCCUUAGAGUUCCCGGCAUUACCCGCUGGCAAAUAAGGACAAGGGUUGCGCUCGUUGCGGGACUUAACCCAACAUCUCACGACACGAGCUGACGACAGCCAUGCAGCACCUGUGUCUAGGUUCCCUUUCGGGCACCGCUGCAUUUCUGCAGCGUUCCUAGCAUGUCAAGGGUAGGUAAGGUUUUUCGC